rnacentral:rRNA from 1 species
CCUACGGGAGGCAGCAGUGAGGAAUAUUGGUCAAUGGGCGGAAGACUGAACCAGCCAAGUAGCGUGCGGGAUGAAGGUCCUAUGGGUUGUAAACUUCUUUUAUAUGGGAAUAAAAUGUUCCACGUGUGGGAUGUUGUAUGUACCAUAUGAAUAAGGAUCGGCUAACUCCGUGCCAGCAGCCGCGGUAAUACGGAGGAUCCGAGCGUUAUCCGGAUUUAUUGGGUUUAAAGGGUGCGUAGGUGGAUUGUUAAGUCAGUUGUGAAAGUUUGCGGCUCAACCGUAAAAUUGCAGUUGAAACUGGCAGUCUUGAGUACGAUAGAGGUAGGCGGAAUGCGUGGUGUAGCGGUGAAAUGCUUAGAUAUCACGAAGAACUCCGAUUGCGAAGGCAGCUCACUGGACUGACACUGACACUGAGGCUCGAAAGUGUGGGUAUCAAACAGGAUUAGAUACCCCGGUAGUC